rnacentral:lncRNA from 1 species
GGAGUUUGCCCAGAUCAUUGGCUAGCCACUUGCUUGCACUGCCUUCCUUGCUGCUCUGGAUUCUCAAGGGUGGGCAGCUUAUAGCCAGACAGAAAUAUGUUACAAGGAGGAAUCACAGCAGACCAUUACCAGGAGGACUACAGGGAUUAUAGAAGAAGGAAAAAAAUCAGCAAAACAAAAUCAGUGAUCAGAGCUUUGAAGAGCAGUGUUUAUAAACCAAGAUCAGUCUCUGCUUCUGAUCUGAAGCCAUUCUUUGGCAGCCAUGGGGGAUGGAGAUCAAUGUUGGGGUGGGAUACUCUGGAGCACAGCUAUGCUAAGCACUGUGCAACCAGUGUGUGAACUGGGGGGUACUGUAAGCAGAAAGAGCAGAAUCAUUGGGGACACAGUGACUGGAUCCCUGGGUGUUGCUGGCCUGUCAGUCUACCUGGACUGGUCCCACUGUUGCUAUGGCACCUGCUUGUUUACAGUACCUGUUGUUGCUAUGGCACUGACUGGCUGGGAUCGCCUUCCGCGGCUUAUUCCAUAGAGUUCAAUUUCGUACUCAGUGGCCUCUCUGAGACCUGUUAUGUCCCUGGAGUCCAGGACAGACGGAAACCGUCUGGAGUGGCAUCUGAAACUAGAAGGUUGUCAACUUCCGGUUCAGCUUCUAGAGGGAGAGAAGAUGGUGGAAGAAGGAGGAGACAGAGCAUUAAUUAGCCAUCCAUGCAGUCUUCCUUCUGGUGGAGUAUCAGAAUGCAGUGCUGCCUCGGUUUUCAGAGACAGAGUGUCCUGAGAUACCAGGAAAGAAAAUCAUUCCACAUUAAAAAAGUCUAGUAGGGGGAGGAGAAGGAAAACACGGAGCUGACACAUUCAAUACAAGCCAAGCAUUCGCUUGCAUCUGUGAGUUUUGUCUAAAAGUAACUGUAUCAGUCCACAUCUGGACUCGGCCUUGGCCCCUCCCGUGCAUUAUUAAACAAGUUCAAAGCCAUAACUUGUUUACAUUUGCUCUUUGUCUUCCAGUGGCUGAGUGCUGGUCUGCUGGGAGCUCCUUUUCUUUUCCUUUUGAAAAGACAAAUAAACCGACUUUAAUGAUCUAUGGGGUGUGUGUGAGCACUCAAUAGAUUCUGAAAAAAGGGAAAAUGUGGAGGACAUGAGAGAACAAGGCCACUUAUUCCCUAGUUGUGGAGGGAUCUUUUCACAUACUUGAGCUUUCCAAAAAGUGACCUUAUGGUGGCCAAAACAAGUCCCAGUAGAGGAGGCUACAGAAUGUUGAUCCAGUCUAACACAACGAUGCUGUAAGGAAGAAGCACUUUUUAACUGGGCCACACCUUCUGCUGGUAACCUCUAUGAAACUGGCAGCCUUUACAAAACACACAGAAGAAUGAGGCUCCCUCUCUGUCUGUCUACUCUCACUCUUGCUGGUGGGCUUUGGAAUUUACCCUCUGAGUAAUGCCAGUGGGCCCAGGAAGUCAGAAUUUCCAAAUCUCCUGUCAUCUGAACUCAUGGUGGGCCAAGCAGCUGCAGGAAGGAAUUUCUGGCCAUGUCGUCAUCCCUUCAGAUUCCCACCAUUGUAUAGAUGGUGGUUACCAUAGGCUGGCAGGAUGCAGAGCCCGAAGCUCUUUUUGUGCUUUGUAUGUGAGAGAGUGAUUCUCCCACAGCAAGCAGAGAAUUCAAUGCAAGCUGGAAGACUACAAGAAUACUUCAAAUGGCACCAAACUCAUUUUCUAGAGAAUGAAAUACCUGAAAUAUGAAGUCUUGGCUGCCUUGGAGCUUUCUGGUGGUUCUUAGUAGCUAUGAAGAAUAAAGCUAAAAUCCCUGAACAUCUGUGCUUUGCACCUGUUCCAGAAGGCCUGAAGCCUUAGAAAUACUGUCCUUCUAUGGCUGAGGGUCAGCUGGGUGACUUCUGUGUUACAUGACCAGCGCUAGUGACCCCUGAACAUCCUGAUCUCUGAUAGUCCCAGCUUCUAGUUUUCUCCAAAGACUCUACGGAGUGUGGGAGUCAAUCAGGCUAUGAUGGUCAUGUGACACAGCGUUCUUCAAACAGCAGCACACUGCAGUAGAUGAGGUAGCUGCAUGCCUGCAUGCAUGCUAAUGAAAUGGGAAGCUAAGUCUGUCACUUGUGAAAACUCAAACGAUCUUGAAAACUUCAUGGCUGAAAUUGGAUGUGUCAUUUUUCAUACAGGAAGAACCAUUUUUAUCUCCAGAUUCUCUCUGCAGUUCAGUCCGUGAAUUAAAGUGACAGGAGAGAAAGUCGGUAGGUUAGCUGGCUAAUAGGACUAAAAGGGACCUGGGAUCAACCAAGGAGAGCCAGAAGACGCUUCAUGACUAGAAAUAAAGUGAGAAGGCAGCGUGGCAGGUUUCAGACCAAGUGCCGUUCUCCUGGGCUAUCCUGAGGAGGGCAAGAGAGCUGUAAUAAAAACACUCCUAGGAAGAUGUUCAAAUAAUGACGUCCAACAUCCUGGGCAUCUUUAAAACAAUGAAAAGUAAAGCUGUCAUUAGAUUAAAGGGGAGAAAUGGGAAAUUUCUAGAAUACCAUGGAGCACAAAUGAAACAGCAACAAGAGACAAGACAGACAAUCACAGCUCCCUAUUUACAUUCUCCUAGUUAGUGUUGCUUAGAAGUCAGCGUUUCUCCAUGAGGCAAUUUGGUUCAAUCAGUUGACUGACAGGAGAAAAACGUCAAUCUUCACGAAAGACAAGGAAGCUGCCAUUUCAGUGUGGCAGAGAGCUCCAGGAGGAGAGAAAGGAGCUUAUUUCUCCUCUGGGCAUCACAUUCCUGACAAGCCUGGCAGACUCAAAGCUGCCACCCAGAGUUAGCAGAGGGCUUAGAGCUCAGGGUGACUUACCCGUGGAUGCCUUCACACGUGCAGGCUUGCUCUUGUGUCUGCCCUUCUCAGCAAUGAGGAGAACAGUGUAUUCUUGCCCUGGCUCCAGGUCUGUCAGGACAUGGGAGGUGGCAUCCUUUGGCAGCUGGACUUCCAUCGACUGGCCUGUGGGGAGGCUGUAGUUGAGGCGGUAACGAUCAAACUUGGCCAGGGGUGUCGUCCAGAAAAACGUCAGACUGUCUUGUGUGGUUUCAGACACCCGUAAGUCCUUGGGUGCAUCAAUUUCUGGAGAGAGAAUGAUGAGACAUCUUUAGGCUGCCAGGCACAGGGACUUCUGGAGCUGAGUGUGCCCUGAGGAGACCUGUAACUGCAGGGCAGUCACCUGACUGACCUCACCUUUUAUAGACAGGAGAUGUUACACACUACCUUUUGGGAUUUGGAGAAAAUUAAAAAUAAUGUGCAGUGGUUUAUAGACACACACACAGACACACAAACAUACACACAGAGAGACAUAUACACAGACACAUUUACACACAGACACACACACAGAAACACACACAUACACACUGUGCAACACUACUGAAAUCUAAAGCUGUGAUGUAUCUAGUAGUAGAUUUUUUUCAGAAAAACACUUCAGGAUGGAAACAACAGUCUCCAAUCCAGCCCUAGGUAAUCUUCACCCAAGGCUGGCACUACAGGAUGCUACGGGAACCAGGAUGCUGUAGUAGAUGCUGUAGUUAAUCUAUAUGGUUACUUAACUAUCUGCCCAGGAGCAAGGCCAGUUUGGCGGUAGGAGGUCUCUGGUCUCCUCAGACUUUUUGUGAUCUCUCCCUCAUCUUCUUUGUUCUGCAGGAUGGAAACAACAAAGGGCUAAGAUUCAGAGGCAGGGACAGCCAUGCAUCUUUAUGCUUCACUUGUUUCUGCUUCUUGUUUAAUUUAUUCAUUAGGUACCCUCCUAUGUAGCCCAGCAGAUUGGGAGGUUAGAUGCUGAGAAAACAGAGAUGAGAACGCUGCUUCUCGAGUUUGUUUAUUCCUCCUGUAGACACCUGCACUUAUCCUGUUCCUGUCAAACGGCACCCUGUGAGAUCCGUAACUCAGCCCUUCCUUCUGCAAUCAUAUGACUGCUUAUUUAUGAUUUCAUAUUGUUGAAUUAGCAAAGCAUACAUAGGAUUUGGAAUCAGAUGGACCUGGAUCAGCAUCUAACCCACCACCGAUAACACUGUGACUUUGGACAAGAUUUAUACAAAGCUCUGAGAUCAUUGCUUUUCCUGGGAGAAGGUGGUAACUGUGUCUUCCCUCAGGUGGCGAACACACGAAUGAAGUACUCCACCCCUGGUUCCAGCUCCCGAAUGGUGGUGGAUGUCUGGUCCCCAGGCACACGGAACUGCAUCUCUAGGCCAUCAGCAUGGGAACGAACCCUGUUGCCUUCUGGGAAGCCUACCUUCUGCAGGUUGGAGGCAACAGCCUGUACCCAUGGUGCACUGCUCCCUUAGAGACGAUACCAGCAACUCCAGCUCCUCCAGCCUGCUCAGGAGCUCCUUCACAUCUGGAGCUGCAGCACAGCCACAGGCCCGGCGGGGGAUGUUGAUGCGGUACAUACAUGGAAUAUCCUGGACUCGGAUAGACAACAAUGACUCUACUUUUUCAAAUGCGGAUGAACUUGUUUCCACAUCAUUUUGGCAACUCUAAGGAAUAUCCACGGCUAUCCUCACAAAGUCUCACCAACAAUGGCUAACCAAAUCUGAGCUAACUAAGGAUGCCAACAACAGACAUGAGAAAGUUAAUAUGGAAAGCCCACGAGGCCUAAACCCUACACAAAGAACUCUAGGUAAUCAAGCAAUGCACUGGCAAUGAAAGAGGUGGUCCUCUCCAGAGAAAUGGUUGUUCAGUGCUAAAAUGUCAGCCCUGAAACAUACAUGUAAGUUUAUAAUGCUAAGUACUGGACAUGUUAUAUCUAUGCUUGCAAUACCAAUUAGUGAAAAAAGAGGCCUUGGAUUUGAAGGAUAGCAGGGAGGUGGGGUAUGUGGGAAGGCCUGGAGAAAAGAAGGGGAAGAAAGAAGUGUCAUAAUUAUAUUAUAAUCUCAAAAGUAAAAUAAAAACCUUACACAAUAGAAAUGAUGCUAUACCUGGCCAGGACCUGUCUUUCAUAAAAGGGUGAAGCCCCAGGAUGGAAGAGCUCAAGCAACUAGAGCCUAGGGAGGUCUCUAGAGCUGGAAGAGAACACCCUGCUCCCCUCCAGCUUGGCCAAGAGAGAAUGUUAAUAAAUGAGAGGAUGAUAAAGCAAGAUGUAGCAGACAGGGGAGUUUAAACAUCAAUGGGUCCUGGAAAAUUGGGCCUCAUACUAUGUAUAGCCAAGAAAUCAGUCAGAACAUAAGAAAAUUUCAGAGACCCUGACACUUCAAACUUUCUUUUGGAAUUUUACAUUGGGAUUGUUAACUUGACACAACUGAGUCACCUGGGGGAGAAAAACCUCAAUAAUGAAUUGUCUAGAUGAGGUGGUUUGUGGGUUUGCUUGUUUUGAUUACGUUAAUUGAGGCAGAAAGACCUGCUCAUCAUGGGUGGUACCAUUCCCUAGGCAUGGUAUCCUGGACUAUAUAAGAACAAAGAAAGUAAUUUGAACACAAGAUAUGCAUCCCUUAAUUCAACACCCAAUUCUUUUGAUGUUGAAUAUAAUGUAGUUACUAGCUGCUUCACGGAGUUCCCAGUUUGAACACUUGGUCUUCAGCUGUGGGAAUAAUUUGGAUGCUGUGGAGUCUUUGGGAAUGUGGGCCAGGCACAGCUGUGAAUCUUAAUCUAUGAACCAGUAUGUGGAUGAAUUUUCUCCCACGGAGGCCAGACAAGGUGGCCCAGCUAGAGGAGUGGGAUCCACAGACAAGAAACAGAUUCAGAGACAGCCCCUGCUCCAGUUGUGAGGAGGUGGGGGGCCACGUGAAGACCAAGCUGCACAUCUGCUACAUAUAUGUGAGGAGCCUCGGCCUAGCCCAUGCUAUCCCCUUGGCUGGAGGUUCAGCCUCUGCUGUACUGCAAUCUACUUGUAAAAUGAAUGUUCAGCAGGUUAUGGAGGCUCAUCCUGUCGUGAUCAUGGCAUUUGAGAGGUUCAAGCCUGGGAGUCAGCAUGAGUCUGGGCCAGCCUAGACUGAAACCUUCUCUAGAAGACAAACAAACAGAACCAACCAACCAAAACCUCCAAGAACAAACAAGAGACCCUUUCACUAACAAAAAAAGUUUUCUCCCAAAGUGCUGAGAAACAUCAUAAUUCUAGCUAUACUUCAGCCUUACAGUGAGGAGGACUGCUCAGACUAGACACUGUUCUGUCCCCCUGGACUCUUUAUACUUUACAUAGAGUAAUAAUACUGAGUGAUUGCAUUUGUUGUGCUGUUUCCAUAGUGCACAUAAUACUGUGAUAAUCAGUCUUCUAAUGCCUUGCCUACCCUUGCCCUCCAUACCCCUGACUGUCCUGCUCCAUUUGCUUGUUUCUCGCUCCUAAUUUGCAUAUGUAAGAGAAACGUGCAGUGCUUGUCUUCCUGCAUGAGUUUAGCUUAUUUGACUUAGCAAGGUGAUCUCCAGUUCUGUUUAUUUUUCUGCAAAUGGCGUAGCUGUAUUUUUCUUUAUGGCUGAAUAAAACUUCUCUGGGUGAGAAUAAAUUCUAUCUCCUAGUAAUCCACCUUGCAAUCAACUCUUGAUUUCCUGGCUAUCAGAAUUUGACUUCUACAGUCAGUUCAUACAACAGUGUGAUCUGAGGCUCUGUUCCUAAUUUCCAGGUCAUUGGAGCCUCACCUUUUAAACCUGUUAUCUUAGCACCAUGCAGGCUGAACAACCAUUAGGAUAUCCAGUUGGUUAAUCAUGUGGAAAUACUAAUACAUGGAACCUCUUCAUUCUUCUUGAGUCACCAGUGGAGAAAGAAACUUCAGAUCUGGAAUGAGAACCACUUGACUUUCAGAGGAGACUCUUCGACUCAUCAACUGUGUUAUCUUAGGAUAUUUGUAACUCAUAGACCCAGCCUCUGAUGGUAGCUGACUAGACAGGUAAUUCUGCCUCAGAGUUCAAGAGCUCACAUGCCAUGAGGACACUCAAGCAGUGCUGAGAGGAACAGUCAACAAUGGCUCCUGGACCACGUGAGUGAAGCAUCUUGGCAGUAGAAUCUAGCCCAAGGUCCUGAAACAAGAGAUUUGGAAGUUGAGAUUUUUACAUCCAUCAGAGGCACAGAGGGAGCACAGACUGGGGCAGAGAGGGAACCAAGGCAUGACUCAAGGGAUGCUAUUGAGUCAUAGCAGACAGAGACUCUUCAACCUUGUAAAUGAAGUCAUGCUUUGUCUGCAAUCAGAGAAAGUGUCAGACCCAGUGAAUCACAAAAGCAAAGCAGCUGGCUUGGGGCAGUGGGUAGCCAUGGAGAGCAGAGGUAGAAUCAACGCCUUAGUAGCCAGGAGCAGGAGCCAUUCAGAGUCUACUCCACGGGCACGAUAAUAAAGAAAUCAGCAUCUGGAGGACUCCCAGGAGGCAAGCUAAGGUAUCCAGUCUUCUGUCAUUUAUAACAGAUUUUAAAAGGCUUAUCAGCAAACAUGAGAGCAGGAAAAUAAUCUCCUUUGUAUGUGAACAGGCUGGGGCUCAGAGAGAGGAGCCAAACUUACCGAGAUCAUAUGGCCAGGAAGCACCAAGGCUUGUCAUGGAGCCCAGAUGGCAGGAGAGGAGAGGCAUGCUUUGUGUUGGGCUCUGCAUUCUUGGGCAGCUGAAGCAGAGUGAGAAACUGGCUGAUGUGGAGAGGCUCUUACAUCCAGGGCUUGGACUUCCGGCUUGCUGAAUGGAAGUGAUGAGCCUUCCCCACGCCCUCUCCCCUUUUGGAUCCACGUUGCUAUCUGUGUCAGAAGGCUCUGGAAAAUUUACACCUGCACACCUGCUCCGUUUUGUGUUCCUCUUGAUUUUAUGAGUGGACAGCUGUGAGCUACAAGGAGCUCAACAGUUUAGAACCCCUCCCGCAACACGACAUGAGAAGACACGGUUUCCCUCUCCUUUUCCACACUCCAGGCUCUGCAUGAGACGUGUGAAGGCUGUCUUCCCAGCUUGUCACAUAUAAUUAGGAUUUCUGAGACUUCUUCAGAGAAAGAAAAGGGUUGUAAUUUUCUGAUGUCACUGAGUCAUUUUGGUAUAACUUUCUUGUUCUUAUUGAGGUGGAAUGUGUGUUUGUGUAUAUGUGUGUAUGUAAGUGUAACAUACAUGUAUAUAUACACACAUAUGUAACAUGUGUAUGUGUGCAUGCAUGUGUGUUGUAUGUGGAAUGUAGUAACAUUUAAGGAAAUGGAUAUAAAGUGUUUUUAGACUUGUCUCAGUCCAGUUAUCUGCUUCCCUGAGGGCUAUGUCAUUCCCUGUGCCCAACAAAGUGUCCUGAGACAUUUCCUGUUAUGUAUUCUCUGCCACUUGUAUAGUUAUUUGUUUUGUCCUCACAACACAGUUCAGCUCUGUCCAUGGGAUGGGGCAAAUGGGUACAGUCUUUUUAUAACUUGAUUGGACACAUCAGUAUGAAGGCAGAAUUAAAAAGAAAACACUAUUUCAUUUACUUUAAUUAUUAUAAAAUCUUCAGAAGAGAACUAGGUAUUCUGGAUUUAUGUUUUGCAUAUAGCAGUUGUUUUUUAAAAAACAGAAAAAUCAUGUUUAAUAAUGCGAACAUUGUUUUCUCUUGUGCUAUGGAAGCUAGUUCAGUAUGUGUGUACUUAAAUAAGAGGAAAGAGGCUGGAAGCAAAAUAAUGUUCUGGUCUCUACCCAAAACAUCCCUUUUUUUUCCUCCCUCUUUGCAAAGUCUUAAAGUCUUAAAAGCUGUGGUGAUUAGCUUCCACACUUCUUUCCUAAAUGCAAAGUGAGAUGCUGGUUUAUGGACCAGAAUGAAAAAAACCAAGAAGAGCUGAGACUCUCACGGGACAGCUUGCCAGUGAAGUCUUCCAAGUCCAAGAAGCUUUACAGAAGUUGGAGGUGCCCUGGAAAGGGACCAACAGCCUUUUCAGCUCUUUACCCAUCACUAAUUCUGGCUCCAGCUGGACUCCGGCUUGCUGAUGAAAGGGAAUGAAAGCCGUGGGCCUCCAAGGGCAUUUUGGAUGGAAUCUAUUCAGUCUGCAUUUACUUGCGCUGCAUUAUGAAAUCUCCAUGACAACAGGCACAUGUCUCAGUGUGUUACAUGGAGAAGGACUCUACUUUGUCAGGAGAAUCUGAUCAUGUGCCACUUCCUUCCUGGGUGUUGGAAUGGGUUCCACCUGGAGUUGGUUUCCCCUCAUCCAAGAUGAUGGUAAUACAGAAAGAUAUCUGAGGCCAGCAUCCAAAUUCCUGAAACCACCAUAGAUCCCACUGGAGACAUGUGGGAAUGGAGUUUGCUUCGGUGGCAGUUGGCAAGCAUGGCACUGAUGAGAAGUUGAGGCUGAGGCACCCUUUCUGCUUCAGUUGGCUCUCUGAUUUGGCUGGUUUCUGAAAGUUAUGAGAUGAAAGGGUGGGCGAGACUCUGGCCAUCAUUAUUCUGCUCUGAGAAGUAUGAUUUUUGAAGCUGCUAAUACUAAAUAAGUCUCACACAACAUCCUGAAAUUAUUGUCCCCCAAACUGUCUGUCUUUAGUCAUUUUACAAGCCUGAGAGAUGUCUACAACAACAACAAAACAGAACACUGCAAAACAAAAAAGCAGAGUAUUGGUCAGAAGAAAAGCUAGUUCUCAUCAGCUACAGUACCCAUACUAGAAUUAUCUACCAUAUGAGAUAUUUUAAGGAAAAUAAUUGAUUCUCAUUUUCAGCAUGCUUAGUUAUUAAUCUCCCAAAGGAGACAACUAUUAUGUUUCUGGAAAAUAAAAAACCUGAUUUCCA